UGGGAAUUCUGGGAUUUAUUCCUGGGGUUUAUUUGUGGGAAUUCUGGGAUUUCUGGGAUUUAUUCCUGGGAUUAAUCUGUGGGAAUUCUGGGAUUUACGGGAUUUAUUCCUGGGGUUUAUUCAUGGGAAUUCCAGGAUUUCUGGGAUUUAUUCCUGGGAUUUCUUUGUGGGAAUUCUGGGAUUUACGGGAUUUAUUUAUGGGAUUUAUUCCUGGGGUUUAUUCCUGGGAAUUCCGGGAUUUCUGGGAUUUAUUCCUGGGAUUUAUUCCUGGGAUUUCUGGGAUUUAUUCCUGGGAUUUAUUUGUGGGAAUUCCAGGAUUUCUGGGAUUUAUUCCUGGGGUUUAUUCUUGGGAAUUCUGGGAUUCCUGGGAUUUAUUCCUGGGGUUUAUUUAUGGGAAUUUUGGGAUUUCUGGGAUUUAUUCCUGGGAUUUAUUUUUGGGAUUUAUGGGAUUUAUUCCUGAGGUUUAUUCCUGGCAAUUCCAGGAUUUAUGGGAUUUGUUCCUGGGGUUUAUUCAUGGGAAUUCUGGGAUUUAUUUAUGGGAUUUAGUCAUGGGAAUUCCAGGAUUUACGGGAUUUAUUCCUGGGAUUUAUUCCUGGGAAUUCCGGGAUUUAUUCCUGGGGUUUAUUUAUGGGAUUUACAGGAUUUAUUCCUGGGAAUUUGUGGGAAUUCCAGGAUUUACGGGAUUUAUUUGUGGGAAUUUUGGGAUUUCUGGGAUUUAUUCCUGGGAUUUAUUUGUGGAUUUUCUGGGAUUUAUUCCUGGGGUUUAUUUGUGGGAAUUCCAGGAUUUCUGGGAUUUAUUCCUGGGAUUUAAUUCUGAGAAUUCCAGGAUUUAUUUAUGGGAUUUCUGGGAUUUAUUCCUGGGAAUUCUAGGAUUUAUUUAUGGGAAUUCUGGGAUUUAUUCCUGGGGUUUAUUUAUGGGAAUUCUGGGAUUUAUUCCCGGGAUUUAUGGGGUUUAGUUCCAGGAAUUCCAGGAUUUAUUCCUGGGGUUUAUUUAGGGGGAUUCUGGGAAUUCUGGGAUUUAUGGGGUUAAUUUCCCCUUUCCUAUUAAUUAACCGGUGUUUAAUUAACCCCGUGUGUGCCAGUGACCUGCUGCAGAACGCUCUUAUUGAUAUUUAUAUUUAUAUUUAUAUUUAUAAUUUUAAUUUUUAAUUUUUAAUUUCUAUUUUAAUUUCCCCUUUCCCAUUAAUUAACCCCAAUGAAUUAAUUACCCUUUGUUGCAGUGACCUGCUGCAGAACGCUCUUAUUUAUAUUUAUAUUGAUAUUGAUAUUGAUAUUUACAUUUACAUUUUUAGUUAUAUUUUUUAUUUUAUUUUUAAUUUCUAAUUUAUAAUUUUAAUGGCCAUUUCCCUGUUAAUUAACCCCAAUUAAUUAAUUACCCUUUGUGUGGCAGUGACCUGCUGCAGAACGCUCUUAUUGAUAUUGAUAUUGAUAUUUACAUUUACAUUUUUAUUUAUAUUUUUUAUUUUAUUUUUAAUUUAUAAUUUACAAUUUUAAUGGCCAUUU
rnacentral:lncRNA from 1 species